rnacentral:tRNA from 1 species
UCCUCUGUAGUAUAGUGGUUAGUAUGCAAGCUUGUCACGCUUGAGACCCGGGUUCAAUUCCCGGCGGGAGAG